AUUUAUUCCCCAAUUUAGCCACUUAUACAUUUUCCAAUGUCUGGCUAUCUAUGUGGAGUGGGCAGGAUGACUACACUCAGAUAAAAUCUGCAACAAACAACAUAACAAUUUAUGGAUCGGUAGGAUUAGUUCAAGUCAUUUUAUUACUUCUGGGAUGCCUAUUUAUGUACAAUUUCUCGCUAAAUGCAUCACGAAACUUGCAUGAAAUCCUCCUCCUAAAAAUAUUAAACGGACGGAUACAUUUCCUAAAUAAAAUUGGUGCAGGAUCACUCUUAAACGUGGUGACCAAAGAUGUCGAUAUUUUGGAGUCAAGUUUUCCCCAAAAUUUGCAAGGAACCGUGCUUAACUUUCUUCUCCUUUUAAGCGCAAUCUUCACGACUUGUUACGCAACCCCGAUAUUUCUCGUGUUUGUGGCACCACUUGCCCUUAUUAUUAUUUCCUUCAGAGAUUUUAUGUCAUCACAUCCACAAACUUGAGGAGAAACGAAUCAUUGACUAGAACCCCACUUUAUAGCCUAGUUCUGGGAACGCUAUCGGGAUUGUGUUCCAUUAAAGCGUUUGGAAUUGAAAAUGAAACAAUGAGAGAGAUUCAGGAAGCUUUAUUAGAAAAUAAUAAGGCUUACUUUUUAUAUAUGGCUGGGACAUUGUGGAUUAAAGCAAGGCUAGACAUUCUGGGGACCUUAAUAGUUUUGGGAACUUGUAUUUUUGCCAUCAUUUCAAGUCCGGCUGUCGUCGCAUUAUCUUUAUCUUCUGCUCUGCAGAUAACUCAGUUGUUAAAUUAUUUUGUAAAAUUAACCAGCGAAUUCGAAUCGAAUAUUGUAGCUGUGGAGAGGGUUGUAAAUAUGACGUUAAUUCCGCCAAACCAAAAUUCCUUGUUUUGGAUGAAGUAACGGCAAAUUGCGAUGAAAAUAUGGAAGUUCUGAUCCAAAAAAUUGUCAGUGAACAGUUUAAGGAUUCAACCGUCUUAAUUGUGGCACACCGUAUUAAAACCUUACUCGACUGUGACAGGUUUGUGGCACAUUUUCAUAUAACGAUGUGAAGUAAUGAUCUAUAUUUUCUUUAAAGGAUUAUGGUCCUAGAUGUUGGUCGAAUUAAAGAGUUUGACACGAUAAGUAACUUGCUAAAUUUAAAAUCCGAUUUUUAUGAAAUGGUAAAAUCUGACGAAUUAUUUACAAGAGAUUUAUAGUAAAGAAGGAGGAAAACAAUAAAUUAGGAGUGAAAUUUA